CAGAUAACCAUCACGGGGCUGGAGCCAAGGGUGCAACUGAAUAUGGCAGCGGUCAAGGUGCCAGGACAUGAAGCCUGGAUUCACUACUGACGAGUCAAGCCGUGGAAGAAAACAGAAGAGGACACUCAAUACACCUGUCAAGCUACGACACGCAGCGCCAGUUCAACAAAGAUAUAGAACUACAGCCAACCACAGAAAACAUCAGUCACCCUUAGAUGGACACCGCUAUAAGGACUCUGAGACCUGAGACUAGCAAGAAGGAGAGGCCCAAUGCCCCUUGCCGUCCCAGUUCAGCAGGAAGUAGCCAGAGAGACCUCGA